UGGUUUUUUUAACGGGUUAACGCGUGGAUGAGGAAGGCUCCGCCUACUUUCCACGAAAUCAACCUUAAUUUACUUUUGCGGACGCAAGGGGAAAUUUGAGAUCGAGAGGGAAGCAUGCUACCGAAGAAACUGAAUAUUGCUGCUGCUCUUGUAGGUCAUCGCCGGAAAAAGAGAGAAGAAGAGAGAGAGAGAAAGAGAGCAUUUCUAGAGAAUGGAGGGCUUGUAUUGGAGAAGCUGGUUGCCUCUUGUAAUGGCAGGCCUAUUCCCAUCCGUACCUUCUCCUAUCAAGACCUUAUCUUGGCAACCAAUAACUUCGAUCAUCGCCUUAUUCUACAUGAAGAUGAAGACUCGGGGUUUCAAGUUUACAAGGGUUCUUUUGAGGGCCGAAUACUUUGCAUUAAGAGUUAUAAUAGAAAGAUGUCCUCCCCAAAGGGCUGGGCCCUAAUGGAUAUAGGUAUUUCUGCAAAGAUGAGCGCUCACAAAAAUAUUCAAAAACUGGUAGGAUGCUGUCUCGAGACUUCGAUUCCGACUAGAGUGUAUGAAUAUGCUCAAAAUGGAGUCCUUGCCGAUCGAAUUUAUAUCUCUAAACGAAAAGGUACGCCUAUGGUGUGGCAGAGCAGGUUAAAGAUUGCAAGACAGAUUGCUCAUGCAAUUGCAUAUCUCCACACUGCCUUCUCCAGACCCAUCAUUCAUAGAGAUAUAAAACCGCAAAAUAUCUUAUUACACCAGUAUGAUGUUCCCAAACUCGCAGAUUUUUCAUUUUCUAUUUCAAUUCCUGAGGGUAAAACUCACGUGGAGGAUGAGGUGUGUGGGACUCAGGGUUUCUUAUGCCCUAUCUAUUUAUUGACAAAUAUGAUAACAGAGAAAACUGAUGUCUAUAGCUUCGGUAUGGUUCUAUUACAUAUUUUAACUGGACAGUAUAAUUAUGGUCAAGAGGCGGAAUUAGCUUCUGAAAACAUUGACAUGCGGAAGAAUAAUUCUCUUGAAGGCCAUGAAAAGUUGGUGGAUUCUUUGAGAAAUCGUGCUCUAAAUGAGAUUGUGGAUCCUGCAAUCUUGGAGGAGGAAGGAGGAGCUGGUUUGGAGCCGCAAUUGCAAGCUGUGCUAGAGCUUGGUCUAACAUGCACAGAGUACGAUCCAGAGAUAAGGCCGACAAUGGUGAAUGUUACGAAAGAACUCAGGCGGAUUGAGAGGAUUGUUUUUUGACUCAUGCAAAAGGCUGAAGAUCAUGCCGGGCUCUGAUGCCAAUGGCUUAGGAAACAUGGAGGCCUUGAAACCAGGAAAACAGGUGGCUGCAAAGUCUUCUAGGGUCAGCUGUAGAUGUGCAGCUAGAUCAUGUGCAGACUGUGGGAUUUGGUGAUUUCUGUUUAUGGAAGGCUGAAGAUGAUGAAUGCUGAAACAUGUGCUGAUGCAGAUAAGAGAGGACUGAAAUGGUGUGUCACGAGCUGGUCUAGCUACUGCUGAAGAAAUUGUUCACCGGGUAACGGCUACUAGCCGUUACUUGGUGAUUUCUGCAUGAUCUUGAUGUUCUACCUUAAUACUCCCAUCGGUCUGCACAGCAAUGGCAGGCCUAUUCCAAUCCGCACCUUCUCCUAUCAAGAGCUUAGCCGAGCUUCGGGUUUCUCAGCGAGCACAGCUUAAAGCUUUCUUCUUCCGUUGCUUUCUGCUUACUGAAAGGGCCUUGAGCUCUCUCUCUCUCUCUCUCUCUCUCUCUCUCUCUCUCUCUCCCUGCUCCGCUCUCUGCUUUUGCAUCUCUUCGUCUCGUGCAUUUUCUUAAGGAUUUCAAAAGCGUUGAUUGGCCAUCUCUUCCU